CUUCUUCUUCUUCAUUUUUUUUUACGCUUAUUAUCUUUGUUUUGAAAUCUACUAUUUAAAGAUGUUAUUUUUGUUGUUGGUAACCUCAAGAUUUACCCUUCGAAUGUGUUUUCUUAUUGUUAAAGUGUUGGAAGUUCAAAAAUUAUUUUUGGUCUUCUAUAUUUUCUUUUUCUGUGUAUUCCUAUUUUGUGUAUAAACUAAUUUGUUUUAUUUAU
rnacentral:lncRNA from 1 species